rnacentral:rRNA from 1 species
CACUGGGGUUGCGAGCGUUGUCCGGAAUUACUAGGCGUAAAGGGCAGGCAGGCGGAUCCAUAAGUUUAUCGUUUAAGGCGUCGGCUUAACCGGCGUAGGGCGGUAGAUACUGUGGAUCUGGAAUGCGGUUGGGGAAGACAGAAUUCCUGGUGUAGCGGUGGAAUGCGCAGAGAUCAGGAGGAAUACCGAAGGCGAAGGCAGUCUUCCAAGCCGUUAUUGACGCUCAACUGCGAAGGUGUGGGUAUCAAACAGGAUUAGAUACCCUGGUAGUCCCU